CUUUCCUAAUAUGAUAAAAAAAUACCUGCUGGGUUACCUAUGGUUGUUAUCCAGUUUGCUAAAGUCACUAAAUCACAAGGUAGAAAUAUUGUGCAAAGUGUUGAAGGAAUCAGCAAACUCUUUGUGAACCCGGAUUUUCCCAAGGCAUUGUGCAGUUUAAAUCUGGUCUGGUUCUCGCUCUUGAUCGUGUCUGAACCCUGCUUGGCAUAUGCCUAACCGACAAGUCAUUAGAAUUCAAUUUGAAAAACAACUAUGAAGUCAAGACUAUCACACAGCUUAGGGAGGAUAGUACCAAAGUUGGUUCCUAUGUCGUUAAUGCUAGGAUGGUUGAUAUGGUGGAGCUUAGCCCAUGGUGGUAUGCUGUUUGUGGUUGCGAUGUUAUUGUUGAGAAAUAUCUUGGUGCAUUCUUUUGUGACAAGUGCAAUGCUACUGACUUUAUUCCGGUUCCAAAGUAUCGCGUCAAGAUGGUGAUUGAGGAUGAAACUGGUGCAGCUUUCCCCGAGGCAUAUGACCAUGUGAUGCUUCCUAUUGUUGUUGUUGAUAAGAAA